rnacentral:sRNA from 1 species
AUCCGUCGUUGCUCGCCAAUUCGAUGACGAGGCUCUCCGGGCCCAGGUUGCGGCAGGCGAUGAGACUGAGCGCGUUUUCGCGCGAAUGUUCUAACAGGGCGGGUGAGAAAGAGGAAUAGUAGGGGUAAUCGUCCGCAAAGAGGAUGUUUGGACUUACCGUUUCGGUGAUCUGGGCGAGGCUACAGUCUCUGCAGAACGCGACGCGCAACGGGAAGAUCAGUUCGGGCUUGUCGAUGUCCCCGUCGACGAGAAGGCGAUCGACAAGCGGUGUUGCGCCCAGGUCGAGAAAGGUUUCGAGACGCGUUCCGCCGCAGGACCGGCAUGCGUGCUCCGU